AGACAGCGCUAUCGCGCUUCCUCAGCCCGAACGGGAUCGAGGUAAACACUGGAUAAAACAAGCUUCUUAUCCGAAACUCACG
rfam:Legionella shakespearei DSM 23087 strain ATCC 49655 Lsha_ctg035, whole genome shotgun sequence.